rnacentral:misc_RNA from 1 species
GAUGAAGAACGUAGCGAAAUGCGAUAAGUAAUGUGAAUUGCAGAAUUCAGUGAAUCAUCGAAUCUUUGAACGCACCUUGCGCCCUUCGGCAUUCCGAAGGGCAUGCCUGUUUGAGUAUCAUGAACACCUCAACUCUUCAUGGUUUUCCAUGAUGAGCUUGGACUUUGGGGGUCUUGCUGGCCUGCGGUCGGCUCCUCUCAAAUGAAUCAGCUUACCAGUGUUUGGUGGGCAUCACAGGUGUGAUAACUAUCUGCGCUUGUGGUUUUCCACCAAGUAACCUUCAGCAGUGGAGGUUCACUGGAGCUCACAGACGUCUCUCCUCAGUGAGGACAGCCCUUUGAAUGUUUGAUCUCAAAUCAGGUAGGACUACCCGCUGAACUUAAGCAUAUCAAUAAGCGGAGGA